rnacentral:rRNA from 1 species
GACGAACGCUGGCGGCGUGCUUAACACAUGCAAGUCGAACGGAAAGGCCAGUGCUUGCACUGGUACUCGAGUGGCGAACGGGUGAGUAACACGUGGGUGAUCUGCCUUGCACUCUGGGAUAAGCUUGGGAAACUGGGUCUAAUACCGGAUAUGAACUGCCUUUAGUGUGGUGGUUGGAAAGUUUUUUCGGUGCAAGAUGAGCUCGCGGCCUAUCAGCUUGUUGGUGGGGUAAUGGCCUACCAAGGCGUCGACGGGUAGCCGGCCUGAGAGGGUGUACGGCCACAUUGGGACUGAGAUACGGCCCAGACUCCUACGGGAGGCAGCAGUGGGGGAUAUUGCACAAUGGGCGGAAGCCUGAUGCAGCGACGCCGCGUGGGGGAUGACGGCCUUCGGGUUGUAAACUCCUUUCGACAGGGACGAAGCGCAAGUGACGGUACCUGUAUAAGAAGCACCGGCUAACUACGUGCCAGCAGCCGCGGUAAUACGUAGGGUGCGAGCGUUGUCCGGAAUUACUGGGCGUAAAGAGCUCGUAGGUGGUUUGUCGCGUCGUCUGUGAAAUUCCGGGGCUUAACUUCGGGCGUGCAGGCGAUACGGGCAUAACUUGAGUGCUGUAGGGGAGACUGGAAUUCCUGGUGUAGCGGUGAAAUGCGCAGAUAUCAGGAGGAACACCGAUGGCGAAGGCAGGUCUCUGGGCAGUUACUGACGCUGAGGAGCGAAAGCAUGGGUAGCAAACAGG